rnacentral:lncRNA from 1 species
AAAGCUGGAGACCCCUAAAUAAAUGCAGUUUCGAUAGAAAGCGAGUUUCUUGAAGAGUCAUCUGCUAAACUCCACUAGCAUCAUCUCUACAGAUCCCUUUAGUUAAUCAGAGCUGACUUCAUUGACAGCUUGCUCUGGUUAAUUACUGAAGUGUUUUAACUGAAUGCCCCAAGGUAUCGAUGUACUCAACCACCACUGCAAGGCUCAGAACAUGAGAAAUCUUGGAAGAAAGCUGGAGACAGUUUAUCAAUAUCUGAGAUGUUUGAGUAAUAUACAAAUAAAGCAAUUGUUCAGCACCAUCCUUUUGUGACUACAUCCCAACCUCUUGUCUUAUAUGGAUGAGGUAAGCUACCUGAGCAUCUCAGUUGCAUUCAAAAUUAUUUCUCCUCUUCUCCACUCUUGAUGACAAGUUGUGUAGAAUCAAUCAUCUGCAUAAUUCACAUUACUCCUCUUUUGCACCACCAAUUCCACUAAGCUUUCUUCAGUCCCUCCUAUAUAGUGAUCAAUUCCUACCUUGUUCCAUUGCAUCCAGUUUUUAUCCACAAAUGUAUCACUUACUUUGUCACAAGAUACAGUUCCCCAAUUCACAAUUCCGAUGAUUCUCUUCCCUUGCAAAAGACUGAAAUUUUCCCUCAUGCCAAUAGAACAAUAUUAUUUACCAUGGAUCUUCAGGUGCUCCAAAACCUAGCUGCAAAAACAUAUUAUUUAACUUCUUCCUAGGUGCAAUUUACCUCCAACCUUACUGGAAUGUAAUGUCAGCCACUAUUUCUAAUUCCUCUGCCUUUGAAUCUCUAAGCUUUACACUAAUUAGAGGCAACAGAAUUUCCCUAUCAGAAACAUAGGGUCUAAGAUCUGGAAGUAAACGGAAUAGCAUAGAUUUAAAGUGGAGUUUUCAGGGAUGUCUGGGUGACUCAGUUGGUUGAGCUUCAAGUCAGGUCAAGAUCUCAUAGUUCGUGAGUUUGAGCUCCCACAUCGGAUUCGCUGCUGCGCAGAGUCUGCUUCGGAUCGUCUGUUCCCCCUCUUUCUACCCCUCCCCCUCUCAAAAAUAAACAAAUAUUUAAAAAAUAAAUAAAUAAAGUG